GGGUCAAGUGAGGUCAUAAUGUUUUGAUCGCCUUAAUCUUCUAACUACUCAUAUCAGCUGGAGAAUUGAAAAGCCUUGCGAACCUUUUUAUGUUAUUUUUCUUACAAUGUAAUGUUUUAAUUAUCACUUCUUAGGUCAGUAAAAUUGAAAAUAACAAGAAAACAAAUAAGUAAAAUGACUAUCAAAUACACGAGUUUUAAUAAAAUGUUCAUGCAACACAUGUCACAUUAUUUAGUUUAAGAAGUUCAGUUAUGUAACCAAGUUGUAAACGCCUUGCCUUUUCAUGUCUCAGAUGAAAGAAAUACCUUCUUGGUGGGCAGCAUUAGUUGCGAUCCAAAGAAAAUGCUGCGUUUCUUUUAUUGCAGUGUGCUUAUUUCCUUAGAACAUUUAAAAAGUUACUAUUUAUCAUAAAGGAUGUACUAUACCACUUGCAUCUUGACCGUUCGACAAACAAAUAUUUAGAUAUCUGGAAAUAAUGCUAUAGUUCUUAAGAGUGCUUUAAAACUUAAUUACUGACAGACUAUAUGUUACGGAAACACAUGAGAAUAUGUUGUUUUUUUCUUCUACUUUUCACCAUGAAGAUUGGAAGCAUUUGUAACGCUUUCCUUGAGGUUAACUGUCUGCGCGGUCAUCUCUUUUGUCUUGAUUUGGCAUUUUUAAAAUAGCUUAGAAACAAAAACUCAUAUUCUAAUGUUCAUAUGAUCGGACAUCAAUUGAUAAAAAGAUCAUUUUGUGAUAGAAUGAUCUUGUUUUCGCAUCAAUCUUGAUGUCAGUGCUUUUAAAUCGUUUCAUUGAUCACACUAGUUAGCAGCACAUAAAACCAUUAAUUUUCAAAUAAAUCUGCAAGCUUAUUAGGUAUGUUAGUAUUUAUCCGCACAAGUUUUAUAGAAAAAUAAACUCUCCUGUUGCUACGUUCCCGUCGAUGUUUGAGUUUACCAUGCAAGUUUUAUAGAUAAAACAACUUUCCUACACGCUCCCGUCGAUGUUAGUUUUAUUUCAAUCUGAUGAUCACUAACAUAUACUUAGAUGUAGUAUUAAACAUAUGUACAGGAUAAAGUUUUGAUUUUUGUAAGAUUCUGGAUGCUUAUGACCAAUUCUCUGUAAGAACCGAAAAAAAGUUGAAAACUCAUAGUCACAGAUUUCCUUUAAACCAUUUUUUUUUGAAAAGGAUGCAAUAUUAGGUAAAUCCUGUUUUUGAUUUUUUUUUCAAUAUAUAUCCCGGUUACCAUGGAAACGAGGAUGCAAAUCUCCAACUUCAUUAAUUUUCAAAAAAUCAGGGAUGAUAUCCGAAAAGUACUAGAAAGUGUCCUUUUUUAUCCUUGCAAAUUUUAAAGACAAAUGAACAAGUUUUCAUACUUAACUAAUAUUUCCAAACAUUUAUUUGAUUCUUGUGUGAUCUAGACUUUCAUCUGCAAGAAAACAUAUAUCUAUAAAAUUAAACAUACGUUUAUAUUGUGCUCUACAUCUUGAAUAGUGCACAUGUCUCAGGAGAAAAGUUUAUUUGUUUGUAUAAACGGAAGAUGAUGUUUCAAAAAGAAACAUAAAUUGUAGUGGGUCCUUCAGACACAUUAUCGUAGAUUUUGGCCAAAGUUUAUGAUUUUGGGGUAUUGUUCCUAUUGUUAUUACCUUCUCUUGAAGCUCUUCUUUUAGGAAACCACUAAGAAAUUAACUAACUUUACUCCCUUGAUUAUGCUGAAAUCAGAUUUCUACUUUGAUUUUGUAAAUUUUCAAUAUAUUAAUACAUUGACAGUUAGAGAUUUUAUGCUAAAUGGGCAUGUGAUGCUUUGAUGUGUCCCUUCAAACUAAAUCCAUGUUUAAAAUUUGCUGAAUAGCGACAUUGUUUGGGAAGACUUCUCUGGCAGAAAAAAAGUCUACACUGUGGAUAGAAAUUUGUCUGUUUGUCUCAAUAUUAAGUGAAGUUUGUAUCAGCUGAUUGAAGGAUCAAUGUAUAACACUACAAUGAAAACAGGUGUGAGUUUAGUCUUUUAAAAAUGACUGCUUGAUGAUAAAGUUUCAAACAACUACGAAGUAAGUUGGUGUUCUAGAGAGUGACAGCUACAUUGUAAAAGAAAGUGCUGUCAGAAGGCCCCUGACAUAACCUGAACAGCCAGCCUUCUCAAGAUUCUGUAUCAAGUGAAAAUAACAAUGACUGCUGAAAAGACUUUGUAUAACUUGCAAAUGUGCAGUCUGUGACAUAACCGUCUGAUCCAGGUAGUUCAACAUCUCUAAAGUAGAGGACACAAUGGACACUAUGAAAAUGGAAUUAUAUUGUUUGCAUUAAGGUUUCUGUUUUUCAGAUUUAUGGAAUAAAAAAAUAGAACCUCAUUUCUUAAAAUUGUUGAUCAAUUGUUUAACCAAAGGACAUGUAAUUGAAAAAUAGUUUAACUUUUGUUUUUAAAUUAAAAUUUUAAAAAUCUGGUACUGUUUGAUUACUUUUGCAUGUAUUACAUUAAAUUUGUUAUAUUUCAAUUAGAUAGAAUUUAUUGUACAUGUAUUUUGAAAACGAUGCACUUGAACAUACUGAAUAAACACAUGGCAGUCUUUGAUUUUUUGUAAAAAGGAACCUGUUUUGCAGUUUUUAUUAGAUUAAGUUACAAGUUUACAUCAUAAUUACACAUGAAGGCUUAUUACUCACAAACAUAUGCAAAUCUAAUUGUAUAUUUUCUAGCAUAGAUAAUUUUAUUUCAUAUAGAUUUUUUUAAAUCUUUAAAUAAUACUGAGAAAAUAUAGCAAAUAAAUGGUUGAAUUAGUGAACUUGAUUUUGUGAGACUGUUGAAAUAUAACAUUUUUUUUCACUCUUAAGACUGUAUCAUAAAAUUAUAUUUUCUGGUGAUUUUUUUAUAUAUAUUAUAUUUACUGACACUGGAAUGUGCAUGAUCAGGUUUUUUUAGUCUGAACAAACUUAGUCAAGUCUUAAAUCUACAUUAUUUAUAGCUAUAUUUAAGGUGCUUGAUCAUUUUCUUGAUAGUUUGAAAGAAUUUUAUACAUUUAAAUUGUAUCAAGCAAAAUAUUGACAAAACUGUUCUGUAGCUCAUUUGAUUUAAUUUGAUUGUUUGUUAAAGGAACAAUGUGCAUCUUGGUCCAAAAAUAUCAAUUUCUAAAAUAUUUACCAAAACAUCUCCUGGAUGGAAAUGAAUGGGAUAUUUGUAUUUUAAAUCUCAAUAAUUGAUCAUUGUAAUUUUGUUACAUACUUAAUGUAAAUUGAUAACAGAAACGUUCAUUUUACCACUGAAAUAAUUUAAACCUAAUAAACUUUCCUAGAUUACUAUUACAUGAACAUGCUGUAUAUUUUUAAGUAUCAUGAUAUUUUACAGUCUUGGAUAUACACUGUUAUUUGUUCAUAAUUUUGAAUUGUCUUUAAAAUGUAUAUAUAAAAUCAAAUGGCGAAUUAUGCAUGAUUUUGUGUUUACUACUAUUUGUUUCCAGACAGGAUGGACAAACCGGGGACAGCAACUACAAGAAAAACUUAACACUCAUUUCAAUAUUUACAAGUUUGUUUACAUGAAAUGAUUAUUUACAAUG
rnacentral:lncRNA from 1 species